rnacentral:rRNA from 1 species
ACUCAAAUGAAUUGACGGGGGCCCGCACAAGCGGUGGAGCAUGUGGUUCAAUUCGAUGCAACGCGAAGAACCUUACCGGGGUUUGAACUGUGUCUGAAACACCCAGAGAUGGGUGCCCCUAGCAAUAGGCAUAUACAGAGGUGCUGCAUGGCUGUCGUCAGCUCGUGUCGUGAGAUGUUGGGUUAAGUCCCGCAACGAGCGCAACCCUUGCUGUUAGUUGCUCACUCGCAAGAGUAGCACUCUAACUAGGACUGCUGGUGAUAAACCGGAGGAAGGUGGGGAUGACGUCAAGUCAUCAUGGCCUUUAUGUCCCGGGCUACACACGUGCUACAAUGGCUGGUACAAAGGGUUGCUAAAUCGCAAGGUGGAGCCAAUCCCACAAAGCCAGCCUCAGUUCGGAUUGCACUCUGCAACUCGAGUGCAUGAAGGUGGAAUCGCUAGUAAUCGCGGAUCAGCAUGCCGCGGUGAAUACGUUUCCGGGCCUUGUACACACCGCCCGU